rnacentral:rRNA from 1 species
ACGCUCGACACCUACGGGAGGCAGCAGUGGGGAAUAUUGCACAAUGGGGGAAACCCGUAGAUGCAGCGACGCCGCGUGGAGGAAGAAGGUCUUCGGAUUGUAAACUCCUGUUGUUGGGAAAAGAGGAUGGUACCCAACAAGGAAGUGACGGCUAACUACGUGCUAGCAGCCGCGGUAAUCUGAGCGGGCUGGCAAGGC